UCUCCCAUGAGGUCCACUUUGUUCCCACAGGCCUGUACUGCAGGAACUGAUCACCAAGUGAGAGCUGAGGGGACCUGUUCUCAGCUGCCAACCUCAUGCCUCAGGUCAUCAUCACUUGUGCGGUUCUAUCAAUCUACCUAUGCAUUUGUAUGCCACCUCUCGCCAGAGUGCUUGUCUCCUGUUCUCCCUAAGCAAUGAGGUUAAUAUUGAAGGGCCUGGUGUGGGUCUCUCAUGAGCAGACAUAAAGCAUACUGUGGGAACCACUGCAGCUUCGAGCUCCUGAGACUCCACUGUGCUCCACAGAUUAGAAACUGCUCUAUUCAGUACUGCUGAUGCUGUGGUAAGCUUAAACCAGAAGGGCUAUGAUGGGCCAGAAAAUAGAAAUCAUGGUGUAUCAGUGGCUUUGCAAAUUGAUUGUGA